rnacentral:lncRNA from 1 species
GCGUCCUCCUGGAGAGUCCUGCAAGAAGCCGGUGGCCGGGAUCUCCGGCGCCGGCCCUCCGAUGCUUAAGUCAGAGGGGGCUAGUAUAUGAGUGGAGUAAAAGAGGGGAAUGUUUGUUCUUGUGUCUGUCCCCUUUCUUUUUUCCCCCAGGUUCCCUUUUAUAGAAGGAUAUUAUGUUACCUGAGAGGUGACAGGGCAAAUUGUCUUCUUCGUGAUAAUUGGGCACGAUCAUGCUCAUUAAUGGCGUUGUGGAGAAUGAGACCGGAUCAGACCGGAGUCAGCGAAUUGUCAUGGUUGAUCAGACCUGUUGGAGUGGUUCAACCGCCGGCCGUGGUGGGCCUGGGGUUCGUAGAUAGCAAGUGCAUUAAUUGCUGAGUGAACCGGUGAUCAGGGAGAGCCAUA